rnacentral:rRNA from 1 species
UUCCGGUUGAUCCUGGCGGACCUGACUGCUAUCGGAUUGGUACUAAGCCAUGUGAGUCAUUGUAGCAAUACAAGGCAUACGGCUCAGUAACACGUAGUCAAUCUGCCCUAUGGACGUGGAUAACCUCGGGAAACUGAGAAUAAUCCGCGAUAGAUCAUAAUGCCUGGAACGGUUUAUGGUCCAAAUGAUUCGUCGCCAUAGGAUGGGACUGCGGCCUAUCAGCUUGUUGGUGAGGUAAUGGCCCACCAAGGCUAUUACAGGUACGGGCUCUGAGAGGAGAAGCCCGGAGAUGGGUACUGAGACACGGACCCAGGCCCUAUGGGGCGCAGCAGGCGAGAAACCUUUGCAAUGUGCGCAAGCACGACAAGGUUAAUCCGAGUGUUUCCUGCUAAAGGAAUCUUUUGUUAGUUCUAAAACCACUGAUGAAUAAGGGGUGGGCAAGUUCUGGUGUCAGCCGCCGCGGUAAAACCAGCACCUCAAGUGGUCAGGAGGAUUAUUGGGCCUAAAGCAUCCGUAGCCGGUUCUGUAAGUUUCCGGUUAAAUCCACUAGCUCAACUAAUGGGCUGCCGGAAAUACUGCAGAACUAGGGAGUGGGAGAGGUAGACGGUACUCGGGAGGAAGGGGUAAAAUCCUUUGAUCUCUUGAUGACCACCUGUGGCGAAGGCGGUCUACCAGAACACGUUCGACGGUGAGGGAUGAAAGCUGGGGGAGCAAACCGGAUUAGAUACCCGGGUAGUCCCAGCUGUAAACGAUGCAGACUCGGUGAUGCACUGGCUUUUGGCCAGUGCAGUGCCGCAGGGAAGCCGUUAAGUUUGCCGCCUGGGAAGUACGUACGCAAGUAUGAAACUUAAAGGAAU